GCAGCCGGCCGAAGCCAGCUCUCGGGCUGACAGGCAAAUGAACCAGAUCCUGGACGGGGCCUCUGGGUGGCAGCUCCGGCCUUUUGGUUGUUGGACAACUAUAGUCAGAACUGAAGUGGAACAGGGGCAGGAGAAAUAAUACACUUUUACUCCACGCAACUGUUGCUUUCACAUGAUCUUCAGGAAUGUAACUGGGAUAAUUGUCCAAAUCAAAUCCCAUGCCCUGUCAUGGUACUGAUUAUUAAGGUGACUCUAUGAAAGGAUCACUCCAAAAUGACAGGAAUCUUGAGGAACCCAUUAAUGUAAAGCUGCUGCCAGAGUUCCAUGAGGAGGCAGAAUGUUCUAGAUGAUCCCUGUCUCUUCUCCAUUGAGGAAGUAGUUUCUUGCCUUCCUGUAAGCUCGGUUAAUCACACCAGAAUAGAGGUCCUGUCUUACUAAGCACUAUACAGUAUGGAGAGAUCCUGCCAAACCCGUCGGGACGAAUAACAGAUGAAUUCGUAAAACUGUUCAUCUCUGUUAUCCUGAAUGGUCGCUCAGACAACAUUUUACUCAACUAUAAAGGGGAACACUUAAAGUGCAUAUGAGAAGAGAAGAGAAUGACCACAGGAGAAAAUCAUCUCAGGCCACAAUUUCCUGACCAGAAUCUGUAAGAGAGAUUCCAAGAACUUGGGAGAAGCAUAUUGUGUGAUGUUCUAUAUUUAUGAGACCCAUAACAAACUGUGAAGAGAUAACAGAACGCUUUUUGCGUGAGCUGAAACAGUAGAUGAAAUCUUUCAUUAAAAUUACUCGUACUUUGGGUCCUAUUCUUAUUUAUAAAUAAACAUAAAUAUUAUUGCAAAU
rnacentral:lncRNA from 1 species